CACGCCGUGCCCCCAGACGGCCAGACGCGACUCGCCAGACCCAGACGCCCAGACCCCGCGCCGCGCCGCCGCCCCAACACCGCGCCGCGCCGCCGCCGGAGGCGCCUCGAUCCACCCUCUAUCCUGCCCCCUCCGCGCUGCUGCAGCCCACUCGCGCCGCUGCACCACCCUCUAUCCUGCCCCCUCCGCGCCGCCGCCGGAGGCGCCUCGAUCCAGAUCCAGGUAACCCUCCGCCGCGGCAACUGCUUCUCUCUUUCUCCUCACUCGGGCGCGCUGCAGUCGGUUGCUUCGUGCUCUGCAGAUUAUCUGCUCUGCUGCGACCGUUUUUUCAUGGUGUUCUGCAGAUUCUCUGCUCUGCUGCGAGCCCUUGAAUCCAAAAGUUUUUCUUUUAUAUUUUUUGUUGCGGAUCUGUUUAUUUGUAUUACGCUGGACUUGAUGCGCGGAGGGGACUAUCAAUUUACUUUCUAGGGGUUCUCCAUGUUUAGGGGAUUUGUUAGUUCUCGGUCAGAUCUAGUUGUAUUUAUCGUUUUCAAGCAAUAAGUUCUUUUUUUGUCCGCAAAAUCUGUGUUUUGCGGGUGGGGCAACUUGCUCUUUGAUUUUGCUGGGUCAAGCUGUUUUCGUCGGUUAUACGGUGAAGGAUUUACAGCGCGGAUCUUAGUUUUACUUCCUCUGGAAUUAGGAAUAGUUGCAGCUUGACAUUUAUUUAAAUAAAAGGUGGUCAAACCGCCAAUCCACGGGCUGUUGUUUGCUAGCAUCAAUCGUAGAGUGGGCAGUUCAGUGUUCACAGAUCACAAAUGAUUUAUCAUAAGCAACACCAACAGGAAGCAACUCCAAGUCGAUCUCCAAACCUGGGUCAUCUACAUCUUAAAAAGGGUGGUGCAGUGGUGCUGCUGGACAGAUGGAGUACUGCCGUGCUGGGUGGUUUGGACUUUGGAAGCGAAUCUGUCUUAGUCAUGUAGUUUUUUCAUCUAUGAUUUGAUUUGUGUGCUUUAAAACUAUGUUUAUUAAUUGUGAUAUGUGAAGUGUGAACUGUCACGGUUUGGACGUGUGAAGUGUUAGUUAAUUUCGUUUGAACUGUCAGUUUGGACGUGUGAACUGGAUGUAUGGUUGGGUGUAUUUGAUUUGAUUUUAUACUGCAUAUGUGGAGUUCCAGAAUUUC